rnacentral:sRNA from 1 species
GCUGGGCAUGGUGGCACACGCCUAUAAUCCCAACAACUCUGGAGGCUGAGGCAGGAGGAUUGCUAAGUUCAAAGCCUGUCUCAGCAACUUAGUGAGGCACUAAGUACCUUAGCAAGACCUUGACUCAA